rnacentral:rRNA from 1 species
GACGAACGCUGGCGGCGUGCUUAACACAUGCAAGUCGAACGGAAAGGCCCUGCUUUUGUGGGGUGCUCGAGUGGCGAACGGGUGAGUAACACGUGAGUAACCUGCCCUUGACUUUGGGAUAACUUCAGGAAACUGGGGCUAAUACCGGAUAGGAGCUCCUGCUGCAUGGUGGGGGUUGGAAAGUUUCGGCGGUUGGGGAUGGACUCGCGGCUUAUCAGCUUGUUGGUGGGGUAGUGGCUUACCAAGGCUUUGACGGGUAGCCGGCCUGAGAGGGUGACCGGCCACAUUGGGCCUGGGGAACCGCCCAGACGCCUACGGGAGGCAGCAGUGGGAAUAUUGCCCAAUGGGCUGAAGCCUGAUGCAGCAACGCCGCGUGCGGGAUGACGGCCUUCGGGUUAUAAACCGCUUUCGCCUGUGACGAAGCGUGAGUGACGGUAAUGGGUAAAGAAGCACCGGCUAACUACGUG